rnacentral:rRNA from 1 species
UACGGGGGGGGCAAGCGUUGUUCGGAAUUACUGGGCGUAAAGGGCUCGUAGGCGGCCAACUAAGUCAGACGUGAAAUCCCUCGGCUUAACCGGGGAACUGCGUCUGAUACUGGAUGGCUUGAAUCCGGGAGAGGGAUGCGGAAUUCCAGGUGUAGCGGUGAAAUGCGUAGAUAUCUGGAGGAACACCGGUGGCGAAGGCGGGUCUCUGGGCCGAUACUGACGCUGAGGAGCGAAAGCGUGGGGAGCGAACAGG